rnacentral:lncRNA from 1 species
AUAUCUUUUGCCAGUUUGUCACAUGGAUGUUCUGUUGUAGUGAGUAUAAACCUGAACACAUAUGCUAUCAUCAUGCCAUAAGACUAAAACAAUUAUAUUUAGCGCGCUCACACCCUCGCGGCGGCCGCCGCGCGAUCGCCGGGCCCUCCCGGUUCCCCGGGCCAAGCACACGCCGAACGGGAAGACGCGCGCGGCGGCCGAACUGGCCCCUCAACUCCUCGCAGGGGCGGAGGUGGGUAAAGAGAGAAAAGUCCCCAAAAGAUUUGGGGAAGGAGUUCUCCGCCUCUCGCAGAGGAGUUAUAGUUCCCAGGCUGGAGAGUCUCUCUCUCCCUCUCUCUCGCUCUCUCACCGCGCUGCAGUUUGCUGUCUCUCGGCUGAGUCUGGAGACCGUGCUAAAGUAGAGAGGAGUUUCUCGAAUGCUGGUUGCUGAAGCUUCCAAUGCAAGUUUCUCGCGGCCUCCCAGGCAAGU